rnacentral:rRNA from 1 species
GACGAACGCUGGCGGCGUGCCUAAUACAUGCAAGUUGAGCGCUGAAGGUUGGUACUUGUACCAACUGGAUGAGCAGCGAACGGGUGAGUAACGCGUGGGGAAUCUGCCUUUGAGCGGGGGACAACAUUUGGAAACGAAUGCUAAUACCGCAUAAAAACUUUAAACACAAGUUUUAAGUUUGAAAGAUGCAAUUGCAUCACUCAAAGAUGAUCCCGCGUUGUAUUAGCUAGUUGGUGAGGUAAAGGCUCACCAAGGCGAUGAUACAUAGCCGACCUGAGAGGGGGAUCGGCCAAAUUGGGACUGAGACACGGCCCAAACUCCUACGGGAGGCAGCAGUAGGGAAUCUUCGGCAAUAGACGAAAGUCUGACCGAGCAACGCCGCGUGAGUGAAGAAGGUUGUCGGAUCGUAAAACUCUGUUGGUAGAGAAGAACGUUGGUGAGAGUGGAAAGCUCAUCAAGUGACGGUAACUACACAGAAAGGGACGGCUAACUACGUG